rnacentral:misc_RNA from 1 species
GAUGAAGAACGUAGCGAAAUGCGAUACGUAAUGUGAAUUGCAGAAUUCAGUGAAUCAUCGAGUCUUUGAACGCACAUUGCGCCCCCUGGUAUUCCGGGGGGCAUGCCUGUCCGAGCGUCAUUGCUGCCCUCAAGCACGGCUUGUGUGUUGGGCCUCCGUCCUCUCCCGGGGGACGGGCCCGAAAGGCAGCGGCGGCACCGCGUCCGGUCCUCGAGCGUAUGGGGCUUCGUCACCCGCUCUUGUAGGCCCGGCCGGCGCUUGCCGACACAUCAAUCUUUUUUCCAGGUUGACCUCGGAUCAGGUAGGGAUACCCGCUGAACUUAAGCAUAUCAAUAAGCGGAGGA